rnacentral:lncRNA from 1 species
AGUCUUCCACUAGCAGCCUUUGGAUGAAGACAUAGAACUCUCAGCUCCUCCUGCGCCAUGCCUGCCUNNNNNNNNNNNNNCUCCCACCUUGAUGAUAAUGGACUGAACCUCUGAACCUUCUUGGUGCACGUAUGCUUGCAUGCGCAUCAGAAGACUGAAGUUCCAUUUGUCAUUUGUCAGGGUGUUUGGAGGACUGGUUGAAUCGCCGGCUUCUGAGGAUUAUCUUGAUUCUGCCUUCCACUUUGCCACAGGAGUUCUGGGACCUCACUACCAUGUUUAGCUUUACACGGAUCCUGGAGACUCAAACCCAGGCCCCCAUGCUUGCAUGGCAAGCCCUUUACCCACCGCCGGCUAGUUUUAUGUCAAAUUAGUACAAGCUAGGGUUAUGUGAGAGGAGGGAACCUCAGUAAAGAAAAAUGCCUCUGUAAGAGCAGGCUGUAGGCCAGACUGGAGGGGAUUUUCUUGCUUACUGAUUGAUAAUGGAGGGCCCAGCCCAUUGUGGACGUUGCUACCACUGGGCUGGCGGUGCUGUAAGAAAGCAGGCUGGCGGUGCUGUAAGAAAGCAGGCUGACGAGUAUGAAGCUAGUAAGCAGUCUUUCCCUAUGGCCUUUGUAUCUGCUCCUGCCUCUAGGUUCCUAGCCUGCUUGAGUCCCUGUCCUAACUUCCUCAGUGACGGACUGGCCUGUGGAACUAUAAGUUGAAAUAAACCUUUUCUACCCC